rnacentral:tRNA from 1 species
GCCCUGGUGGUGGAAUUGGUAGACACAAGGGAUUUAAAAUCCCUCGGCGUGCGCGCUGUGCCGGUUCAAGUCCGGCCCGGGGCACCA